AUUUUACUUAACAAGUUUGUUGUUCAUUGAGUUGUUUUUUUCAUCACUAUACAACAUUCAAAGAUAAUGUAAGAACAAUCUUAAGAUUCACGCGAUUUGGUAUAUCAUCCACAAAUGUUGAUACCCAAAUUAUCAUCCAGAAUCUAAUAUUUUAUUUGUUGUGCAAAUGAUUUAAACAGACACGAAAUGGAAAAAGAUAUAGUCAAUUAUCGGUUGACAUUAUAUUUCUUGGUAGCAAGAAGUUACUGAUUGACAUAGCAUAACAAGAAAGUGUAAUAUAAAGUGUAAUUCAAAGAUAAUGCUUCACGUUAGGGAGAGGUUAGGUUACCAGUCUGCAGAGCAACAUUGGCCUGGUGUUAAUUCGCCUGAUUAACCUUCUCUUUCUGAAUAUCACGCAUAUUUUUGAUAAAAAGUAAAAAAGGUUCGUCCAGUACAGUUCCAAGGAGAAUAUUAACAUGGUGAAAUAUGAAAGACAAUGAAAUAAAAACUUGACCAAAGCUAAAAAAAUUGAAAUGGAGAAUACAAGUAUUAUACGGAUGAAAUUAAGAAAACUUAAGAAAAUUUAAGCAAAAGGAUGUAUUGGUGUUUGUCAACAGUUGUCAACUUACGUCUAAUAAAAGUUAUGGACGGUAAUAAUAUAUAUACGAAAAACCGAAUACGGCUAACAGCUGCUGAUUAAAAUUAUCAGAAGAACCAGAGUUUAUUAGCUGCCUUAGAGAAAAAAAAAUUAAAGUGAAUUUUACUUCUGAGAUUGUGUAAAAGGGAAUUUUUUGCGAAUCAAAACGUGAUGUUAAAUGGCAUUGCAGUCUUAUUUAGUACAGUUCAUUCAUCAUCGAUUAUUUCUAUAACAAGGCUACUCUCUGGUAACCUUGUGGUAGAGCGUUCGCUUCCAGUGCGGGAGAACUUGGGUUGUAGCCCCAACCAAGACUAUAAAAGUGUGAAUAAAUCCUUUCUGCUUAGCCUUCAUAAUAGGAAUAUCAUUGAUUGACAGGACCUUCGUUUAUAGCAGUAGCAAAGGGAACUGAAGAGGCUAUACGGGGUCAAUUUCAAUAAUAAUAAUAAUAAAAUAAAAUAUCGUCCUUAAAAUUCACUUGAUCAAAUUCGUUUUCAAUUUUUCAAUUCAACUUUUGAAGGUUGAAUGAACUGAUGAAUUUUGUUUUAGAUUUGGCAUGGAUUUGUUUUGGUGAAUAGAUUAAAUUUAAGUUUGAAGUCGAUUUAAUUUGGCUUUUUUUACACAAUUUGCCGCUUUCACCAAAUUUUCUAGGGACAGUUAGUGUACAAAAACUUCGAGCGUCUUCGGGAAUCUCUCUAUACUCUCUAGGGGUAACAACCGGUAUUUUCUAGAGAUUAAAUAGAGUUUGUUCAUAAUGCGGGAUAGUCCCCAGUUGAAUAACAACAUUAGAUCUGCUCCAUUGUAUUUAUACAAUUAGUAUUUAAUCUGUAACUAUGGUUACUGUUAAACUUGUGUAUAUUUAGGAGAACUUUGUACUUUUUUGAUUGCUUGAAAAUGGGUGUGUGAAACACCCGAAGCGUCGCAAAUAA